rfam:Trachymyrmex zeteki contig10226, whole genome shotgun sequence.
UAAUCGGCCCUUUUCAGGGCCAACAAUUUUUCCAACGGAUAUUUCU